AUUGAACGCUGGCGGCAGGCUUAACACAUGCAAGUCGAGCGGAGAUGAGGUGCUUGCACCUUAUCUUAGCGGCGGACGGGUGAGUAAUGCUUAGGAAUCUGCCUAUUAGUGGGGGACAACAUUCCGAAAGGAAUGCUAAUACCGCAUACGUCCUACGGGAGAAAGCAGGGGAUCUUCGGACCUUGCGCUAAUAGAUGAGCCUAAGGCGGAUUAGCUAGUUGGUGGGGUAAAGGCCUACCAAGGCGACGAUCUGUAGCGGGUCUGAGAGGAUGAUCCGCCACACUGGGACUGAGACACGGCCCAGACUCCUACGGGAGGCAGCAGUGGGGAAUAUUGGACAAUGGGCGGAAGACUGAUCCAGCCAUGCCGCGUGUGUGAAGAAGGCCUUUUGGUUGUAAAGCACUUUAAGCGAGGAGGAGGCUACCUGGAUUAAUACUCUAGGAUAGUGGACGUUACUCGCAGAAUAAGCACCGGCUAACUCUGUGCCAGCAGCCGCCGUAACAC
rnacentral:rRNA from 1 species